rnacentral:rRNA from 1 species
GCAGGCCUAACACAUGCAAGUCGAGCGCACCCUUCGGGGUGAGCGGCGGACGGGUGAGUAACGCGUAGGAAUCUACCCAGUAGCGGGGGAUAGCCCGGGGAAACCCGGAUUAAUACCGCAUACGCCCUAUGGGGGAAAGCAGGGGAUCUUCGGACCUUGCACUAUUGGAUGAGCCUGCGUCGGAUUAGCUAGUUGGUGGGGUAAAGGCCUACCAAGGCGACGAUCCGUAGCUGGUCUGAGAGGAUGAUC